GGCCCGGACCCGCGUGAGCCGAGCCUCUUACUUCACGCGCUCUGCACAUUUUUGGUACUCACACUGUACGUACUUCGCACAUUGGGUACGUUGCGGCAAAACCGUUCCAGAAAAGGGAUACAGAUCCACUCCACCAUUCUGCAAGGUCAUGCAGGUGAACAGGACAGGUUUAAAAAAAAUAUAUAUAUAUAUUUAUAUAAGAUAUUUCGGAAUCUGAUUUCUACUGUAUAUUAGCUUUACUAUUAGACAGAAAACACUAAAACAGUUUUACAGUGCUCACUUAUUGGGCCUUGUUGAAAUACUAGCAUGACAACAUGAAGGAAAUAUACAGUACUAAUAGUCCUGGAAAUGCAAACGCAAUUGAUUUACUUUGCAUCAGUACGUCGAGCUGAAAUCAAGAAAUGCGAGAGACUUUCUGGAUGUUCUGUACCUUUUGCUUCAAUGCAACGUUUUUCGAAUUGAUUUACCAUCUGCAGUCUUUUUUUUUUUUUAUACGGCCACUAUUUGCCCUAUUCCUCUUCGGAGGUGAAACGUAUUGCCGUUACCCGGCCUUCUUUCCACCGUGUUUCAUAGCACUGUACGUACAGUACGUAACGUGCGUUUGACGUCAUGCUCUUCGCUACGGGAGCCCUCUUUUAUUCUUAGCCGAUGUAGAGAAUUACGGGCAUUUUAUUUAGCAACUUGAGUGAAAAGUGCCUGUGCCUACUCAGUCAAACCGACAAGAAGGAAGUGCCACAAACGACAUCAUUGUUACCUAAUUGACAAACCCUGAAGCCCCCCCACCAUGGGAACUCAUGGGAAUGGGCGCCAUGGUAACAGCCUAUCAGAGCCUGUUCGUCAUCUGAGUGCAGUGAGUUGUUGAUGCUUCUUCCUGAGCAUUCGCAGCUGAUCACCUGCUUUCGCCCUCAGCUCCCUUCCCAGGAGCAAGCACGAUCACGUUUGAAAUCAAUCCUGACAAACGUUUUUGCUUGCUAAUUCUUCUUCUAUUUGCAUUAUAACUGCGGUAGGCAGAUCUUGGCUCAAUACCCAUCACUGAUGUUUUUAUUUUUUAUAAAUAAUCCCUUUCUCCCUGUAUGUCCCUACGAAAGAGGCGGAGGGCCAAGUCACGUCCGGGUAAUUACAUGCGGAUGUCCAACAUCUAAUUAUUGCGUACUUUCUUUCACAUACGGUGAACCCUCGCAUACUCGAGGUCCGGCACCCGCGGAUUUACCUAUUCAUGGAUUAUUUUAUUGUUUUGUUAGGAAACAUUAACAUUAACAGCAAAAACUAGGUUUGGUCAGAAUUUUAGGGUUAGGAUUACGUUUCGGUAUUUGCGUAAGCAGAAACCCAGGCUUAUUAACGGCUCAUACAAUAUUGCGCCCUGAGGUCACACAUUCUGACAAAACCUAGUUUACGCUUUUAACGAAAGCAUUAACUCAAGUAUUCUUCUCCUUUGCUGAAAACGAGCCAUGGGGUUCACAAAAUCUGACGGGGCGCAGAUUUCUUCCAAACACUGGGAAAAAAACAGGGACAGCAACGACGUGGAGGAACGUAAACCAGUGAGCAUUAACGACGACUGCGACAGAGUCGGAGAGACAAGAUAAUCCCCCCCGCCCCCCCAAAAAAAAAAAAUAUAUAUAUUUUCAUUGGUUGUUUGGCUUUGAUUGAUUUGUUGAAACACUGAUUGUGAGCUACAUCACCAUUGUGAUGAGUCCAACGCAAACGUAACGAGUUGGAUUUUGUGCAAUCCAUGUAAAAUGUAUUUAUGAUGGUCUUGGAUAGGUGCUCCUUUAACGGUCACCGUUUACUGAGAGCACCGACGUUGAUUUUGUUUCAAAUUCCAAACAAUCCUUGUUUUGCAUUGGGCAAAACGUUCGCUGAGGCCAAAGGUAGCGAGGCUACAAAAUGACCGUGAAAAAUGUACUGUAAUUCACUCAGUCUUGGUGUUCUCAUACUACAAUACGAAACACAAUAUUAAAUGAACACCUAUCUGACAAUAGAAAUAAAAACAAUCUGCAUUAUUUAGUUUUGUAAAGGCAGAAAAAAAAUGAUUUUAAAAAAACAACUAAUUGUGUACCUAUUUAAAUGAUUUCAUCGACCAAUGUCAGGAAAUAAUAAUAGUGGGCUCUUUCAGUUCAGAGUCGUCGGUAGAGAAUCGAAAAUAGAUUGGACUAACCUAGCUGUGGAACUGGUGGAAUAAAAAAUGUGGAUAUAUGGAAAUGCAUGCCUUUGUAUAAGAAAGAAAGAAAUACCGGUAGACACAAAUGUUUAUAGUCGAUCAGUGAGCGCAAUAAUAAUGCUGAUGAGCGACAAUAAGUUACAACCAAUAUGCUGGACUCUGGCUUCACUGUACCGACACUGUUGGUACAAGAUUCCGUUGUUUUUUUUAAUGAUAUUACCCUGAAGUCUCUCCCAAUGUACAUUUUCACAUACACAAGUUUUCGAGCUCAUUCGCUCUUUGAAGUAGUGCACCCUUGGAACUUCAACAAUUCAGCUAUCGAACAUCUUGCAAUUUGAAGAAAGAAGAUUCGGUCCAAAUCUAAAGCAAGAAUCCAGAAAAUGAACAAAAAUGGGACGAGAAGAGAAGAAGCUUUUCUGUCUUAUACAAUUUCACAAGAGUGACUGGGAUGAUGAUGAUGAUGAUGAUGAAAAUGGUCAUGUCUUUCACUGUACUUCUGAGGCAUCCACUCAGGUUGUAUCAAGGUUGAUCACCGUUCUCACCCUGAUAGGCUGGAGGCUGGGAUCAGUGCCCUCAUAAAACGUCUCCUCGCCGUCAUUUCCUAAAACACAGAGAGAACAAAUAUCAGCCAUCAGAAAUACGGCCGAGGACACACCCAAAAUCCUGGAGGCUACGUGGAACACAGGAAUCCAGAUUUGGUUAGCUAACUUGGCUAUGUCGUCCAUUUUCAUGAGUAGUUACACUACAGCAUGUGCACGGACAUUUUGGGGGGGGCACUAAAAAAAGAUGGCCACUGUCAAAAUUAUUCAUAAAAUUAAGAACAACUAAGUAUAUUUGAACGUGUUGGCUACGAGUUAUGCCGAGAUGCUUUUUGUCUGAAAAGGCGACGACCCCCCCCACGCUUCACUUUGACACGUGUGUUUAGGAAACGUCAGGGCAAUUGCCACGUAAUGUUGUCAGUACGGAGGUCCCGAUCACAUUUUCCCAUCACAGUCCGAGUCUUUGAUUUGAAGAAUCUGCCGAUACGGAGUCCUGAUCUUGUACAUAAAACUACUCUGAUAUCUCUAAAAAAAAAAAAAACAUCCUGGAGAUCACUAAUGAGCACCCAACUCCAGCAUUUCUGGAGCAUUCUGCAGCCUUUCUGCGGAAAGAGGACAAACCUCCAGAAAGACAACUCCUAUCGAUGAAGCAAUCCACCAAUAAGGCCUGUAUGGAGGAGUUGGCAGGGCGGAAGCCACUCCUUACUAAAAGGCACGUGCCAGCACACCUGAAGUUUGCCCGAAGGCACCUGAAGGACUCUCUUGAUUAUGAGAGACAAAAGAAUCCCUGGUCUGAUGAGACGAACAUUUGAAGUCCAAGUUGAAAAAGGUUUUGUUGUUGUUCAAUAUAGCAGCCUACUGAAGAUUAGACCGCUGCUCAUAUUUAUAUUUAGCAUGAAAUACAGUAUAUAUGGUCAAACCAAAAUCCGUUUUGAGAUCUGUGAGGGGAAAGGGUAGCCAGCAAAUUCCUUUGUUUGACCAGCUUCCUUGGCAAUGACUAUCAUAACAAAUGUCAGAAGAUGAAACAGCAAAAAAAAGGAUUCAUCCUCUGUGACCUCAUAAAUAACAACGAAGUAUCACUUCAUACUUUUCGACGUGAAAUAUAAACCUCGUUAAGGUUCUACAGGAAAGAAAACAAAGCUCAUCAGGGGUCACAGAAAGCCUACGUACAAAUCAGGGAGGACAUUAUGUGCACAGCGACUGACGCUAUUAUCGGUUUCAAUACGUGGACACGAUGUUAAGGUAAUACUGUGGUCUUUAAAAGGUCGCUUCAAAAGGGACUAAAGAAAACAGAUAUCAUACUAGAGACUAUCAUCGCUCUUCAGCUAACGCUACUAAGAACCUGUGCAUACUAGUCAGGACAAGGAUGGGCAAGGAAAAAAAAAAACACCCCUCCAAAACAAAAAGGUGGUUCUGAGAAGUGGAGAGAUUCAAAAAAGAAAAGAAAUUCCCGAGGCAAUGGCGGCGUGACAAAAUUGAAUGAACAGCGAUUCGGCGGUCGUUCGAGUUCGGCUACGGCCGCACAGGAGUCCGUUGCCAGCACAAGCCGCGGAGAGCCUGGCCCUUCCUUUAACGGCUGGAUAUCGACAAACACGAAAGACCUCGUGAUAUAAUUGGAGAAUGCUUAUUAUUCUAACAUUAGUUUGCUUGGUAACGGCGCUAAGUGCCAACUGUAGCCUCGUUGUGUUAGCUGCCUGGGCCUUAAAUGUAACAGAGUUCCAAACUGGCAUCGUUCGAUGACCAAAUGUUUCCUACAUUUGUCAACCUGCUUACUGCUGAUGUUAUUUUCUGGUGGAAAUCAACCUUGUUACUGUCCGAGCCUGCAACUAAAUGAAUAUGAAUGAAGAAAUAGCUUAUGAAUUUGUCUGUACACGCCCCAUCCUAUAUACAUGGGAUCGUCAGCAACCACAACAAUCGGUGAUUUCAUCCCAGAGUGUGCGUUAGGCCUGCACAAAAUGAGGAAAGACCGCAAUAUUUUAAUAUGACGUGAUAAAUAAACGUGCAUAGCUACGAGAUAGAAUUGGUUGUCACGUCGUAAUUAACUUUCUCAUUUGCCUUUGUUAAGGUUGUCUUGGUGUCCAGGAUGUCAUUAUCGCUCGAUGAUGAACAUUUGAGAAGUUCUGCAGCCUCGUGUCUGGCUUAGUCAAUCCGUUUGCACAGGAUGUCGUGUCAGUAACAUUUCAAUAACGUGUAUAGCCAUAAUUUGUUCUCUCUCAAUCAUAGCAUAGCAUGGACUCCCGAGAGGACAAGCGACCCUCAGAUUGGCUACAGUUCAGUGAUUGUCAAAGUGUGCUAUGGGUACGACUCGUGUUACGCUGGAUCACUCUAUUGGGCCCAACACAGGAGCCAGCAGCCAUCCAAAAAACGGCCAUAGCCUGCCAAAGCGAGCCCACAGGAGGGCACAGGCCCGGGACGCAGCAGCACGGCCCCCCAAGUCCCCACCCGGAGACCAGGACGAGACCCCAGAGUGGGGCCAACGGGCACCAGGGGACAGAGAGCAGCCCCAGGAUCGGCAUCCCCCAGGAGGGCAAUACAUUUUAAUGAAAGUGCUCCCCUGUGUUCCUGACCCACGUCAUUCCUGCCACGGAGCCAGCCGCCUGUUCUGUCCACUGCCUGCCACCUGUCCACGCCGCCGCCUGCCAACACAUCCAGGACCACCUCCAUAACCUUUCCUCAAUAAACUGUUCAUCAUUUUACAUCUGCCUCUGCCUGCUCUUGGGUCCAGCUACUCCCCGCACGUGACAGAAUACUUAGGCCGCAAUGGACCCAGCAAAAACAGCAAACCAGAUGCCCUGUCUCGACUUUACUCACCCCCCUCCAGCCCUGACAAAGCGGAACCCAUCCUUCCUUCCUCGGGCUCCGUCGGAGCAGCCACUUGGCAGAUCAAACAGGUGGUUCAGGAAGGCCCAAAAGACUCACACCGGAUCCCAAGACCGGGCCUCCAACCCGCCUGUUCGUACCCGAUUCCGCACGCUCUGAUGUUCUUCAGUGGGCUCACAACGCCAAACUCACCUGUCAUCCUGGCAUCACCCGCACCAUUCACUUCAUCCAGCAGCAUUUGUGGUGGCCCAGCCUUGUUCUAGACACCCGGGGGUUCGUCAAAGCCUGCUCCGUCUGUGCCACAGGCUGGGCUGCUGGGUGCAUUGCCUAUCCCUAGCCACCCUUGGUCCCAUAUCGCUCUGGGCUUUGUUACCGGUCUCCAUCCUUCCGAAGGUAACUAUCAUUGUCACUAUUGUCGAUGGCUUUUCCAAAUCCAUCCAUUACGUACCCCUCCCCAAACUACCAUCCGCCUUCGAUACUGCUAACCUCCUUGUCCAGCAUGUCUUUAGACGCCACUGUAUUCCCAUCGAUAUUGUCUCUGACAGAGUUCCUCAGUUCUCAUCCCUGGUAUGGAAGGAAUUCUGUAAAGCGGCGGGCGCAGCAGCCAGCUUGUCGUCAGGAUAUCAUCCGCAGAUCAACGGCCAGACGGUCCGGGCAAACCAAUCCCUUAAAUCUGCCCUCCGUUGUGUUGCCGUACACAACCCUUCCUCCUGGAGCUCAUUCCUCCCAUGGAUUGAGUGCACCCACAACUCCGUCACCAGUUCCGCUACCGGUAUGUCUCCAUUCAAGGCUUGCUAUGGUUGCCAACCCCCAUUAUUCAAAGAACAGGACCAGGCAGUGGCAGUCCCCGCCGUCAAGGAUUAUCUCCGGAGAAUCCAGGCAGUGUGGAAAGACCUCCGAGCGGCAUUGACCCGGUCCGCCACACGCAAUAAACAGCUCGCGGACCGUCAUCGCUCCCUGACGCCCGAAUACAGGGUGGGCCAAUCUAUCUGGCUUUCUUCUCACGACCUCCCGCUUCAGACAGUCCCGGAAACUCACGCCGCGUUUCAUUGGUCCCUUCCCCAUUACCAAGAUCAUCAAUCCCACUUCCGUCCAAUGGAAGCUUCCACAGUCCCUGGAAAUUCAUCCCACAUUCCACGUCUCUUUGCUGAAGUCCGCCUCCACCUGUGCCCUAAACCCUCUGGUUGUUAGAACGAUCAACAUAAGCAAUUAGAAUAACAGAUUUAAAAAAAAAAAAAAAGAUGAGUGGACAAUUGGAUUUGUCGGACUGUAACGUUUAUUGUGUUUCCAACUCAUACUUGAUACAUAGCUUUGGAAGGACGUUACUAUCACAUUAACACAGUGAUACUGUAUAUAAUAUAGUAUAUAACAAUUGUAACAGGUUGAUAAUGUUUUAAUUUCUUUGUUUUUGAAAUUGUAUUCUUCAAUUGAAAUGAGCCAGGCAGUCACUCACCGUUCAUACAGAUUCCUUCCUUCUGGAUCGUGUAGUUCAGCACAGCAAAGGGAGCUACAGGUGACUUUGCGACCAAUAGCUGGAGGGAUAAAAUAGAGCUUAAGCAUCGCAAUAGAAAUUAAGCAUAGAAGGCUAAACAGUAAAAAGACAAAUGAUUAAUAGAUGAACGUGAUGUAAAUAUGAUAUAAAGAAUGAUAAAUGUACAGAAAUAUGUAAAGCAUUUCUAUAAUACGGGCGGCACGGUGGACGACUGGUUCGAGUGUCAGCGUCACAGUUCUGAGGACCGGGGUUCAAUCCCCGGCCCCGCCUGUGUGGAGU